rnacentral:rRNA from 1 species
UGGGGAAUAUUGGACAAUGGGGGAAACCCUGAUCCAGCAAUGCCGCGUGAGUGAAGAAGGCCUUAGGGUUGUAAAGCUCUUUCGCCCGCGAAGAUAAUGACGGUAGCGGGAGAAGAAGCCCCGGCUAACUCCGUGCCAGCAGCCGCGGUAAUACGGAGGGGGCUAGCGUUGUUCGGAAUUACUGGGCGUAAAGCGUACGUAGGCGGAUGCGCAAGUUGGGGGUGAAAUCCCGGGGCUUAACCUCGGAAUUGCCCUCAAAACUGCACGUCUUGAGACCGAGAGAGGUAAGGGGAAUUCCUAGUGUAGAGGUGAAAUUCGUAGAUAUUAGGAAGAACGCCAGUGGCGAAGGCGCCUUACUGGCUCGGUACUGACGCUGAGGUACGAAAGCGUGGGGAGCAAACA